CCUACGUGUGACAGCAGUGAGGAAUAUUGGUCAAUGGGCGCGAGCCUGAACCAGCCAAGUAGCGUGAAGGAUGACUGCCCUACGGGUUGUAAACUUCUUUUAUAAAGGAAUACAGUGAGGCACGUGUGCCUUUUUGUAUUUACUUUAUGAAUAAGGAUCGGCUAACUCCGUGCCAGCAGCCGCGGUAAUACGGCUGAUCCCAGCGUUAUCCGGAUUUAUUGGGUUUAAAGGGAGCGUAGAUGGGUUGUUAAGACAGUUGUGAAAGUGUGCGGCUCAACCGUAAAAUUGCAAUUGAUACUGGCAGCCUUGAGUACAGUUGAGGUAGGCGGAAUUCGUGGUGUAGCGGUGAAAUGCUUAGAUAGCACGAAGAACUCCGAUUGCGAAGGCAGCCUACUAAACUGACACUGACAUUGAUGCUCGAAAGUGUGGGUAUCAAACAGGAUUAGAUACCCCAGUAGUC
rnacentral:rRNA from 1 species